ACUCUGGAACUGCCAUCAAAACUUUUCAGCUAGAGUAUGAUAGAGGAAAGCAGAAUUUCUAGUGUAGAGGUGAAAUUCGUAGAUAUUAGAAAGAAUACCAAUUGCGAAGGCAGCUUUCUGGAUCAUUACUGACACUGAGGAACGAAAGCAUGGGUAGCGAAGAGGAUUAGAUACCCUCGUAGUCCAUGCCGUAAACGAUGUGUGUUAGACGUUGGAAAUUUAUUUUCAGUGUCGCAGGGAAACCGAUAAACACACCGCCUGGGGAGUACGACCGCAAGGUUAAAACUCAAAUGAAUUGACGGGGACCCGCACAAGUAGUGGAGCAUGUGGUUUAAUUCGAAGAUACGCGCAGAACCUUACCAACACUUGACAUGUUCGUCGCGACUCUAAGAGAUUAGAGUUUUCGGUUCGGCCGGACGAAACACAGGUGCUGCAUGGCUGUCGUCAGCUCGUGUCGUGAGAUGUUGGGUUAAGUCCCGCAACGAGCGCAACCCUCACUUUUAGUUGCCAUCAUUAAGUUGGGCACUCUGAAAGAACUGCCAGUGAUAAGCUGGAGGAAGGUGGGGAUGACGUCAAGUCCUCAUGGCCCUUACGUGUUGGGCUACACACGUGCUACAAUGGUAUCUACAACAGGAAGCAAGACUGCGAAGUUAAGCAAAUCCCUAAAAGAUACCUCAGUUCGGAUUGCACUCUGCAACUCGAGUGCAUGAAGCUGGAAUUACUAGUAAUCGUGGAUCAGCGUGCCACGGUGAAUGCGUUCCCGGGUCUUGUACACACCGCCCGUCACACCAUGGGAGUUGGUUCUACCUUAAGGCAAGGUUUCAAACCCUUGACCACGGUAUAGUCAGCGACUGGGGUGAAGUCGUAACAAGGUAGCCGUAGGGGAACCUGCGGCUG
rnacentral:rRNA from 1 species